UACGUAGGGUGCAAGCGUUAAUCGGAAUUACUGGGCGUAAAGCGUGCGCAGGCGGUCUUGCAAGACAGAUGUGAAAUCCCCGGGCUCAACCUGGGAACUGCAUUGUGACUGCAAGGCUGGAGUGCGGCAGAGGGGAUGGAAUUCCGCGUGUAGCAGUGAAAUGCGUAGAUAUGCGGAGGAACACCGAUGGCGAAGGCAAUCCCCUGGGCCUGCACUGACGCUCAUGCACGAAGCGUGGGAGCAACAGG
rnacentral:rRNA from 1 species